ACUGGUGAGUAACACGUGGGAAACCUGCCCAGAAGCGGGGGAUAACACCUGGAAACAGAUGCUAAUACCGCAUAACAACUUGGACCGCAUGGUCCGAGUUUGAAAGAUGGCUUCKGCUAUCACUUUUGGAUGGUCCCGCGGCGUAUUAGCUAAUGGUGGKUAACGGCUCACCAUGGCAAUGAUACGUAGCCKACCUGAGAGGGUAAUCGGCCACAUUGGGACUGAGACACGGCCCAAACUCCUACKGGAGGCAGCAGUAGGGAAUCUUCCACAAUGGACGAAAGYCUGAUGGAGCAACGCCGCGUGAGUGAAGAAGGGUUUCGGCUCGUAAAACUCUGUUGUUAAAKAAGAACAUAUCUGAGAGUAACUGUUCAGGUAUUGACGGUAUUUAACCAGAAASCCACSGCUAACUACSUGCCACGCGGAAUACGAGGUGGCAAGCGUUGUCCGGAUUUUGGCGUAAAGAGCGCAGGGGUUUUUUAAGUCUGAUGUGAAAGCCUUCGGCUCAACCGAAGAAAAACUGSAAACUUGAGUGCAGAAGAGGACAKUGGAAYUCCAUGUGUAGCGGUGAAAUGCGUAGAUAUAUGGAAGAACACCAGUGKCGARGGCGGCUGUCUGGCUGUAACUGACGCURASGYUCRWAAKUAWGGGUAGCAAACASGAUUAGAUAYCCUGGUAGUCCAUACCGUAAACGAUGAAUGCUAAGUGUUGGAGGGUUUCCGCCCUUCAGUGCUGCAGCUAACGCAUUAAGCAUUCCGCCUGGGGAGUACGGCCGCAAGGCUGAAACUCAAAGGAAUUGACGGGGGCCCGCACAAGCGGUGGAGCAUGUGGUUUAAUUCGAAGCUACGCGAAGAACCUUACCAGGUCUUGACAUACUAUGCAAAUCUAAGAGAUUAGACGUUCCCUUCGGGGACAUGGAUACAGGUGGUGCAUGGUUGUCGUCAGCUCGUGUCGUGAGAUGUUGGGUUAAGUCCCGCAACGAGCGCAACCCUUAUAUCAGUUGCCAGCAUUAAGUUGGGCACUCUGGUGAGACUGCCGGUGACAACCGGAGAAAGGGGGGAUGACGUCAAAUCAUCAUGCCCCUU
rnacentral:rRNA from 1 species